rnacentral:rRNA from 1 species
GACGAACGCUGGCGGCGUGCUUAACACAUGCAAGUCGAACGGAAAGACCCUGCUUUUGUGGGGUGCUCGAGUGGCGAACGGGUGAGUAACACGUGAGUAACCUGCCCUUGACUUUGGGAUAACUUCAGGAAACUGGGGCUAAUACCGGAUAGGAGCUCCUGCUUCAUGGUGGGGGUUGGAAAGUUUCGGCGGUUGGGGAUGGACUCGCGGCUUAUCAGCUUGUUGGUGGGGUAGUGGCUUACCAAGGCUUUGACGGGUAGCCGGCCUGAGAGGGUGACCGGCCACAUUGGGACUGAGAUACGGCCCAGACUCCUACGGGAGGCAGCAGUGGGGAAUAUUGCACAAUGGGCGGAAGCCUGAUGCAGCAACGCCGCGUGCGGGAUGACGGCCUUCGGGUUGUAAACCGCUUUCGCCUGUGACGAAGCGUGAGUGACGGUAAUGGGUAAAGAAGCACCGGCUAACUACGUG